GCUCAGGGUUCCAAGAUGUUUUCCUUUCAGAAGAAAGUGCCUACCCACUACUAUUUCACUCAUUUUACACUGUUGUUGCUGCACUAAAAUGAAUGCAGUUCCAUUCAUGAGAAGCUGGAGUAACACCAUGUGCUGAAGAAUUUUAAAAUCACUUGUGUUUGAUUCUGCAAAGUGAGAGCUGCCAAUUUUCUUCCUUGCCAAGGGUCCCAGAUGGAACCUGAAAGACGAUUAUCUUGUUGCUAUGGCUCAUGGGACAGGAGAGGGUAACAAUUUCCAGGUGGCUUAUGCCAUGGGCAUACUCCAAACCCCCCCAGCAAUGGGAGAAAAAGACAUGGAAUGAAAAUGAGGAAAUCUAGAGCAAAAAGAAAUUGGAAAAAAAUGUGCAUGCACAAAUUGGAAUGAAUAAAUAAAAAUGGCAAGCGGGGUGAUUAAAGUAAGCACGUGCACUACGCAGAACACACACAACUGAAGUUUAACUGCUUUAUUUAGACAACAGCUUCCAGAUUCCCAAUCUUCAUUUAGCAGAAGGCAGCCCUAACUGCCCAGCCAGCAGCAGUCAGUGUCUUGAUUUAAAUGGAUUAGGGAUACAAAGAUCAGCGAGGACAGCAGAGCUCAUGUUAAGGGUCUAUGAACAUCCCAGCAGAAUCCCAUGUUUAAUAAAGUUAUGUCAUUUGUACCGUUCUGAAUAUCCUCGCUCUUUUGCAAACCUCUGGAAAGCGCCCAUAGGGUCGGAG